UAUUUUAAUGAUUUCAUUCUGAAGCGCAAAGAAGACGAACGAAGAAAUAAGAGCUAGCUGUUUCUUCGGCGGUGAUGGUGCACGCGUUUGAACUGUAAAUGUGGUACAGCCGAACAGCGUCGAAGAAUACUUACAUCUUGCCACAAUAUCGGAAAAACAAAAUAACUGAAAUAAUUACGCUAUAUCCUUGUAUAAUGUCAACACGGAGGACGAUUGGCAGUAUCAUUAAGAAGCUCAUCUGAAUAACAAAAAUAAGUGUCGCAAGGCUGUGUUUGAUUAAUACUAUAAUUUUUUGAACAGUAGUACAGUAUAUUAUGAAUAUUUACUUAAAUUAUAUUUAAUUUUUAUGGUUUAUUUUCAGAUAAUAUACUGUACUACGGUUUUAGGUGUUCUUUUUAUUUUAAUAAUACGUUGAUAAAUUACCAAUUUUUUUUCUUAUCACAAAGCUAGUUUGUCUUUGUGUAUGUUUAAAUUUAUAUUUUUUAUAGUUAUUGUGCUGUUUAACUUUCUUAUAAAAGAGAGUGAGGAAUUAAAAAGGUGGCCACCGAACAGAAAGUUAAACUGCAAUAUACUAUAAUCGUUUUAGUUCUUGUUUACAUUUUUAACUGAUAAAUUAUGAAUAAAACAUUUCAAAUUAAUUUAAAUUCAAAAAUAAAAGAACACCAACAUAGAUUUCUUAAACAUUAAAAUUUUACUAUAAAUUUAAAUUACAUUUAAUCAGCACAUUAGUUGAAGUUUUAUAGGAACCGAACAUUUGGCUGGAUCAUGGACUACCCACCGACGGAGAAUUUGUCAUUGAGCUGAUGGGAUAUGUGUCGGCACUCGGCUUCGUUUCAACCUGGAGGAAGAUUGGCAGCAGCAAAAAGAAAUUCAACUGAUAAUCAACUAUCCAAAUGAAGAAGAAUUUGUCACAAAGCUGAUGGGAAAUGUGUCAGCACUCGGCUUCGUUUCAACCCGGAGGAAGAUUGGCAGCAGCAAAAAGAAAUUCAACUGAUAAUCAACUGUCCAAAUGAAGAAGAAUUUGUCACAAAGCUGAUGGGAAAUGUGUCAGCACUCGGCUUCGUUUCAACCCGGAGGAAGAUUGGCAGCAGCAAAAAGAAAUUCAACUGAUAAUCAACUGUCCAAAUGAAGAAGAAUUUGUCACAAAGCUGAUGGGAAAUGUGUCGGCACUCGGCUUCGUUUCAACCCGGAGGAAGAUUGGCAGCAUCAAAAAGAAGCUCAUCUUAAUUUAGUUGUCCCCCCCUUUACGCAUUAGCGCUCAUCUCUCAUCCACUCAUCCAACACAUUGACUACGCCGGCCGGCAACACACAUAUAUUAUACACAUUACCCGUUUUAUAUUAUAUAGUAUUAUUAAUAUCCACAUAAUUUAAGUUAUUGUAUAUUUUUUUUUUAUUAUUUGAAUGCAUUCAUAUGAUCAGUUGCGUAUUUAGGAAUUUUAGGAUAAGGGCAACACAUAUUUUGCCGCCUCCCCCCAUUAAAAAAAAAUUAAAAAACUUCUACGCCGCGCAAUAGUGGUCAAACUGUUAAUACCAUAGAAUACCAUGUUAUAUAAAUAGUAUAGUAUUUUAUACCUCUAUGGCACACAUUUGUUGUGAAAAUUAUUAAUGAUUGACGUCACUGCGCCAGUACUCAUAAAGUACGAAAUAAAAAUUUGCAGCCCCUCUAAAUCUUUAAAAAUUUGCCGUUCUGGACAACUGGACCCUAAGCCCCUACCUAAAUACGCCCCUGCAUAUGAUGCGUUCUCGCUUAGGAUGUGGAUUAGGCCUACUGGGGACACCACAAUAAAAAAACGCGCCUCGUGUAAUACCUCAUAAAGUUAUUAAACAAUCCGGACAAUGUUAUUGUACGUCGUUUAAUAAUAUAAAGGUGGUGUGGAAAAUUACCUAACACUGUUAUUCUUAUCUUAUAGUUAUACCUGCAUACAUUUUUUUAUUAAAUACCAAUUAAAUAAUUAUUUAUAUCAAGAAUCGAGAAAUAUUAACGUUUUAUAAAGUAUUACAAUAAAAUAGUUUUGAAAAAAAAUAUUCUUUGAUUUGUUACAAAAAGACUCUAAGUAGGUAGUUAUUAUAUUAGUUUUUAUUUUAACA